AGCUCCUAAAUGAGCCCUCCAGAGCAACAAGAAUCAGCUUGUCUUGAACAAACAAAAAUCAGAGAAUUCCUAAUUUGGAGAUACCAAAGUGGCCUUUCUUUUAAGAGACUCUUAAGAUAUAAUUACAAAGGCACUAAAGUUAGUAAGUGCCCAUUGCUUGGGCUGAGAAAAGCUGGCUCUUUUUGUCCACUGGCAGCAGAAGCUGUGUUAAGCAAGACUGCUAUUAUUAUCCAUUGUUGAUGUUUCCAGCGGCUGUGGUGCUAUCCAUCCUCUCCCCAUCCACGAACAGGCUGCGGUUUCUGAAUCAGGAAGGCAGUAAACAACCUCUUUGUUUGCCUCUCACCCCUAUCCCACUUCCGCCGCCAUUCCCCACUCCCCCUCACUUUCCUGCUGCCCUUAGCCCUGAAAGUAAGAAACCUGACUCUGGGCGAUAUUCAGAUUCUGUCUAGGGGCACCCCAAAACACCUUGGACUGGAGACAAGGAAACAAAAAGAGAAGCCCCCCCAGGGACCACAGGAAUACCCAGAAAACAAGCCCCUCUCCUUCACUAGCCUAAGAAGAGAGCUCUGGGCCCUACUUGAACUACUGCCCCAAGUGGAUGGGCCAGGUAACAGGGAUGCAAACAGAACACACUGGGAACAGGUACGACCAUGACGGCCAGCGUAUCGGGACCUGGCCUGGUCUCCACUCCCAGGCCACUGAGCAGCACGACUGGGUAUGAGCAGCUCUCCCUAGCGCCGCUCAGCUACAGCUGACUUGAGAGUCCUGCCUUCCAGGAGGGAUCUUAACAGCAGAGACGAUCUGAGCACUGUUCCUGGAGCUGGUGGGAGGAUCGGGUAUCCUGGUGUAGCAGCCAAGAGGCCCUCCAAGCUGUGCACUGCCUGGGUGAGCGUCACUCAACCCCUGUGGGUGCGCAUCCUAUAAAUGAGGAUGAUGCCGCUUUGGUCCACGGGCGCGUGGUCCAUUUCUGUCCUCCAUUCUAAGGAAUCAGUGACUUGGAGCUUCUCCACAGGGAAGACCCCAAGCCACAGGGGCACACGCUGUGUGUCGGACACUAUCUUAAGUCAGUGACUCAUCAGGCAUCAAGUAACGAGGCUAAGAAAAGCCCUCCCCUGAGCUCACCUCCUGUCAAUGGAGACAAACAAUUACUUAAGACUUCUAGAAAUACCCCAGGCACUCACAGCCAGCUCCACGAACUGGCUCUCCCUUUAAAUUCUAGUCUCUUGUGGGUCCUCCCCAUCUUGGCCCGUGUGCCCCUCAUGACAAAGGCUCCACUGAUGCUGUGCCCAUGAAUAGGAGCUCCUGGCCAUAGAUAGCAAGGGCCCACUGUGAAGGUGGGAGAGAGGUGGAUGCCCAGAGUGGGGCAAGGAUCAAAGAAGCCCCUCUCACCAGCAGCCCCUGAGGCCACAUCCAACUGUUUCUCUGGGGGUAGUAAGUAAAAGGCACCCCGUGUGCACUUGGAGCCAGCAUGAGGGCAGCUUCCUACCAAUACUGUAUCCCCACAGUCUGACAAGACGGAGUGGGUCAACACUGUGCCAGUAUCCACAGGCCACAUGUUCUAGGCUCCGUCUCUGUGAGUGAGGAUGCCCCUACUGUCCCUGGUGACUGUACAUGUAGGAUGCCAGGUGGGGGGCCAGCCCACGGUCAGGCGAUGGCAAGGUGACUUGGCCCUGGGGUGGGGGAUGGACACUCCAGUCCUGAACUUGUGAGCACCGGUAGUGGAAAGGCCUGGUGACAAUAUAAGUACGGACAUGCAGCAGAAAGAAGAGCAGAUCCCAAACUGAGAGCCACCCCGUCUCUCCAGCAAGGCAGGCCGAUGGGAAGCAUGGCGGAGGAAGGUGGCCUUACCGCCCCGCAUGUAGGGCUGCUGGUGCCCUCUGCUGGAGGAGGGCCCUGUCCCCUCCCUGUCUUGAGGGUGAACCCUAUGGCUCCUGCCAGCAAGGCUGGGGACUUGGCAGUGAAGCAGGUACCCACCCACCUGCCUCACAUAAGAGGAUGGAGCUCAGGCUCCAGAACCAGCCUCUCCACCACACAGGGGACACAGCCACCCGCUCCUGAACCUUCUCCAACCCAGCGGCCUGGAGGGCUGUACAGGGCAAGGAGCAGAGCCCCUCCAGGACGACCCCUCUACACCCCUGUCCGGUGUCCAUG